CGUUCGGGGCUGGAGCUUCGGCCAAGUCGGGCCGCAACCGCUCUAAUCGGUUUGUUUGUUUCCCAACAAUUUGGAUGGUGGAAGAGACCAAAGAGCGAUUUUUCUCUCUCCUUGCGUAUCAUGGCGCUCAUGCGGUAGCGGUUCCCAGGGCAUGAGACUCGUAUGAGAUCGUGAUUUGUUCGCGGUUUUCUUGGGCGAGCCUUGCAUCGCUGCCCACCCUUGGCGAUGGCGGAGCGAGUUCCUGUCGAGGCUACCAGAGUAGCGAUGUCAGGGGAAGGUGGGACUACUGGCACGGAGGUGGAUCGUCUUCUUUCGGCUGGGGGAAGUGGUGUUCUUGCGCCAUCGCCUUCCGUUGUGGAAGUUCCUGCAGUGGCCUUCAAUCCUGCGCAGGAGGCGCACAGUUCACACUCCGCUUCCGGUGUUGAGGAUAUGCUCGAGCGUCUUCAUCUCACGGCGAUUGAGGCGCAACCGGUGAUGGUGGAUGAUGACGAUGAUGCUGAUCUGGUUGUCUCGGAUUGCGCACUAGUGGGGAAGGUCCUCUCCCCUACUGUCCUCCAUAACAACACAAUUUCAUCGGCAAUGAGGCUGGCCUGGGGAAAUCCUAGGGGUCUGCUAUUUCACCCGGCGGGUAGCAACCUGUUUGUGGCUGAGUUUAGCACUGAGAUGGACAGGGAUCGUGUUCUGGAUGGUUCGCCAUGGAUGGUGGGCAAGCAUGCUAUCUUACUCAAGGUUUUUGAUCCUAACAUACAACCAAUGCGAGUGGAGUUUAAUACUCUCUCUAUUUGGGCACGUAUUAUGGCCCUGCCGCCCAGAUUGAUGAAGUCUAAACUGGGUAUGGAGUUUGAUAUGCCAAUUGGUAGAAUUGAGCGUGUGGAAGCGGAUGCUGAUGGAAGAUGAUGGGGUGCUUUGAUGCGUGUCCGGGCAGAUAUUAUGGUACAGGAACCGUUGGUUCGGUAUGUCACUAUCAGUUCUGCGAAGACGAAGACGACUGAAACCUAUGUUGUUAUGUAUGAGAGUUUGCCAUAUUAUUGCUACUCAUGUGGUAUUCUAGGUCAUUCCUCCAUGCUUUGCCCAAACCCAGGUACACGUGAUGUGAACAGAGACCUUCCUUAUGCUGCGAAGAAAUUGUGUGUUAUGGAGGUCUUGUCCAGGAAAUCAAGUGGAUCCAAGUCGGGCAAUAAUUUUUCAUAUUCAUCUUUUGAUCCAAGGAACCGGGCUAACAGUGCUACUUCUGAUGAUGCCAGACCAGCUAAUAAUAGUGGCAAGUAUUUCCCCCAAAAUUAUGAGGGUGUUGGGGAAGCUGAGAGAUCAUCUCCUAUCAUGAACAACCGAUCAGGCAGGGGGCGUGGUCGUUCCUCUAGUGGCCGGAGCCAUGGUCGGUCUGCCGUUGCUGGAGAUGAGAUCUUUCCUUAUCAGAGGACCAAGAACAGUAUGGCUGGACAGAAGAGGAAGCCCACUAAGAAUCAUGUUUCUGUGCAUUUAUCAGAUGCGCAACCUUCAAGUUCUGCUGGUAUUUUGACUAUUGUGGUUUCUGACAAAUCUGGCAAAGAUGUUGGCACGUCUACUGAGGUGAGAGUUUGUGACUCAAACAAGAAACAAUGUAUUAAACCUUCUCGAUCGGCGGAUCCGGCGAAGGCUGCAGUGCAGCCCCGCCAAACGCAAUGAAUAUUUUAUGCUGGAACUGUCGAGGAUUGGGUUCGGCCUCGACAGUUGGCGAGCUUCGCCGGCUUGUGAAGCUUCAUCGACCCACCCUCCUCUUUCUGUCUGAGACAAAGAUGAGGGAUACUCAUGUCCGUAAUUUUAUGUGGUCUUUAGGUUUUUCUGGUUGUUUUGCUAUCAGUUCUGAGGGACAAAGUGGUGGUCUAGCUCUAUUCUGGAGGGAGUCGGUAACUGUAUCUUUGAAGGCAUGUAACUCAAGAUGUAUUGAUGUUCUUGUAUCUUCUGACUUGACUACAACAUGGAGAGCUAUAUUUGUUUAUGGUGAACCAAGAAGAGAAGAUAGGGCUAAUUUUUGGGGUCUUCUUCGACGUUUGAAACCGUUGUGGAAUGGUCCUUGGAUUAUAUGUGGGGAUUUUAAUGAAGUUCUCUCUCAUGAUGAGCACCUUGGCCCUCGUGAUCGCUCUAAACAACAAAUCGCUGCAUUUCGUGAUUGUUUGAGGGAUUGUGAUUUGAGGGACCUGGGCUUCUCUGGUCCCAAGUUUACUUGGUGCAAUCGUCAAGAUUCAAAUGGCCAUGUCAAAGUUCACCUAGACAGGGCUGUUGUGAGCAUUGCUUUUACUGACUGUUUUAAUGGGUUUCACGUGAAAAAUAUCAUUGCUACCUCAUCUGACCAUUAUGCCAUCCGUAUUGGGCUAUCUUGCUUUACGCAGGAAUGUGAGCGACGCCCGGUGUAGCAAGGUUUCAAGUUUGAGGCCAUGUGGUUGUGCGCCACCGAUUACAAGGAAACUAUGGAGCAAGCUUGGGCUGAUGGUAGAAAUGGUGAGAUUACUCUUCAGUCCACAUGGGAUAAUCUACACAAAGUGACGACAUCUUUGAAAACCUGGAGUCGUGAUUGUUUUGGGUCUGUUCAUAAACAAAAUUUUAAACUGGAAAGACGUUUGUGGUCAAUUCGGGCUGCCCCAAUCUCAGCUGCAAGUGUAACUGAGGAACGUGCUUUAGAGAAACAUUUAUGUGAGCUUUUUGAACGGGAAGAAAUAAUGGAGCGUCGACGCUCUAGGAUUGACUGGCUCAAGGAAGGUGACCGUAAUACCGAUUUUUCCCAAGCACGUGCCAAGGCUCGUAGGCGCAUCAAUAGAAUUCAUUCUCUUCAGCAAGAUGAUGGAUCAAUAUGUGAGUCACAAGAUGCGAUAAAAAAAUAUGGUGCAACAAUUUUAUGAUGAGCUUUUUACUUCUCAACCUUGUGAUACUUCUGCAGUUCUUGAUGCUAUUACUCCUAAAGUUUCUCCAGAAAUGAAUGAUGAUUUGUGUAAACCCUAUUCUAAUGAGGAGAUCAAGACCGCUUUAUUCCAGAUGGGGCCUACCAAGGCGCCGGGACCAGAUGGUUUUCCAGCAUUGUUUUACCAGACCCAUUGGAAUUUUCUGGAAGAAGAAAUUUGUCAGGCUGUUAGAAGUUUUCUUGAAGGAAAUCCAAUUCCUGAUGGUUUUUGCGAUUCAGUGAUUGUGCUUAUUCUGAAGGUGUCUAGGCUGAAGCAGCUUAAAUUUUUUAGGCCAAUCAGUCUAUGUAAUGUGUUGUACAAGAUUGCCUCUAAGGUGCUUGCUAACCGUUUAAAGUUGCUUUUGCCAGUUCUCAUUUCUGAUUUUCAGAGUGCUUUUGUGCCUGGCCGUUUAAUUACUGACAAUGCUCUUAUUGGAUAUGAGUGUCUGCACACUAUUCGACAACAGAGGGCUAAGCAACCUUUCUUUGCAAUGAAGAUUGAUAUGAUGAAGGCCUAUGACCGUGUGGAGUGGGAUUAUCUUCAUGGAUGUCUCUCCAAACUUGGUUUUGCCCUAGCAUGGAUUAAUUCCGUUAUGAGAUGUGUUACUAAUGUUCGCUAUGCUGUCAGGGUCAAUGGAGAUCUUACCGAGCCAGUUGUGCCCUCUAAAGGUAUCCGAUAGGGUGAUCCAAUAAGUCCUUACUUGUUCCUCUUAUGCACUGAAGGAUUGUCAAGUCUGUUAGUACAGAAGGAGAACUGUGACGAGCUACAUGGUAUCAAGAAUGGUCGUCUAGGCCCACCUAUCUCACAUCUCUUCUUUGCCGAUGACAUCAUCUUCUUUGCAUGGAGUGAUACACGUAGUGUGGAGGCUUUGAAGUCCACCUUGAAUCUUUAUUGCCAAGGUUCUGGCCAGUUAGUCAACAAGGAUAAAUCUGCUUUGUUUUUUGGAAAGAAGUGUUCGGUGCAGGUCAAACAUAGAGUUAAAAAUCUGUUAGGGAUUUCAAAUGAAGCUUUCAAUGACUCCUAUCUUGGUAUGCCAUCAGAGGUUGGCAAAUCCCCAACAAAAACUUUCAAAUUUUUGAUUGUUCAUGCUUGGGCUAGCAUUUCUGGAUGGUCUCAACGUCCAAUUUCCAGAGCUGGAAAAGAAGCCUUGCUAAAGUCCAUUAUCCAGGCUAUCCCGACAUACAUUAUGAGUUGUUUCCAACUGCCAAUUGAUAUUUGUGAGAAAUUCCGUCAAAUAAUUGCUGAUGAGUGGUGGGGCCGCGAAGAUGGAAAACGAAAAAUGCAUUGGCGCUCGUGGGAGUGGUUGACUACACCCAAGGCUCUUGGAGGUAUGGGCUUUCGUGACAUGGACCUUUUCAAUCUGGUUAUGCUCGCCAAGUAGGGAUGGAGGCUACUGACGAAUCCAUUCUUGCUUUAUGCUCGGGUUUUGAAAGGACGAUAUUUCCCCACUUCUGAUUUCUGGAAUGCAUUAGCGCCAAGGUCUGCGUCUGCUACUUGGCGUGCUAUAUUAGCCGGACGUGAUUUACUCCAGAAGGGAGUCAGGUGGGGCAUUGAUAAUGGUGAAGAUGUUUAUAUUCUCUCAGAUCAUUGGAUCCCUUCGACUCCUCCAAAGUGACUGUAUCCUUUUCUGCCUAUACCUGCUAAUGUUAAGGUAAAAUGCUUGAUUGAUGAGGAAUCUAGUACAUGGAAUCAAGAUUCUGUUAGGGCCUUUUUCCGUGAUGAUAUUGUUGCAGAAAUUCUCCGCAUUCCUAUAAGCAGGCAUGGUGGUGUGGAUUUUGCAAGCUGGCCUCUCACUAUGUCUGGUGAAUAUUCGGUGCGAUUUGCAUACAAUAUGGCGCGAUCGACGCGUUUUCUUGAAACUCGCAGCAACUGUGGUUCUAGACAAUCCUCGAGUGUGGCUGCUGAGGAGAAGAGUUGGAAGGCGAUAUGGUUUAUUAAAGCACCCAACAAAAUGAAGGUCGCACUUUAGCGUUUCGUUCAUGAUUGCCUUCCAUCUGGGGCUCAAUUGCAACACCACCAUGUUCCUGAUGCUGCGUGUUGUUGCUUCUAUGGGCGACUGGAAAGCGUGGAGCACGCCAUACUUUUUUGUCCGCGUGCAAAAACUGUUUGGGAUGCGAUCAAGGAGUGGUCUGUCAUUCAGCUUCGUCGCUCUUCUUUCAGGAAUACCAAACUUUGGCUUUUUGAUUUUCUCUCAAGAUCUUCUGACAAAGAAGCCAUGGUUCUGGCUGUUUCUUUUUGGCACUUAUGGGAAGCACGAAAUGAUGCGCGGCAUUCGUUAGAAGCUCCACAUCCUCGUAUUACAAUUGAGAAAAUCCGUGCUUAUACUGAUUAGAUUCUGCAGCAUCUCUAUAUCCAAAUACCUUUCAUUAGGCGUGAGUCUUCUUCACCCAAUCCAAUAUGGACUUCACCGCCGCCUGGUGUUAUUGCCAUCAACUCGGAUGCUGAAAUCUUUUUAGAUAUAAACAUGUCAGGUGCUGGAGUGGUGGCCUUAAACCAUGAAGGUAGAUGUGUUGCUGCAUGUUUUGAACCUAUUCAAGGCACGAUGGAGUCUGAACUAGCUGAGGCGCCAGCUCUACGAAGGGUUGUAUACCUGGCAAAUGAUGAACAUUUUUCAAAUAUUUUAUUUGCAUCAGAUUGCCAAUCGCUGGUAAAUAGAAUUAUUUCUGGCAAAAUUGGUCGUUCCAGUAUCGGUACGGUGAUUAAUGAUAUCAAGUUUGCUUUAAGGGGCUUUGUGUCUGCGGAAUUCAAGCAUGUUCGUCGGCAAGUUAAUGUGGAUACUCAUCUAUUAGCUAAGUCUUGUAAGAAUUUGUCUAAUCUAGUUAUUUUUCAUUCUAUUUCGGAUCGUA